rnacentral:rRNA from 1 species
UUGACCUCGAAUCAGGUAGGAAUACCCGCUGAACUUAAGCAUAUCAAUAAGCGGAGGC